GCUUAACAUGCAGUCGAGCGGAACGAGUUAUCUGAACCUUCGGGGAACGAUAACGGCGUCGAGCGGCGGACGGGUGAGUAAUGCCUAGGAAAUUGCCCUGAUGUGGGGGAUAACCAUUGGAAACGAUGGCUAAUACCGCAUGAUGCCUACGGGCCAAAGAGGGGGACCUUCGGGCCUCUCGCGUCAGGAUAUGCCUAGGUGGGAUUAGCUAGUUGGUGAGGUAAGGGCUCACCAAGGCGACGAUCCCUAGCUGGUCUGAGAGGAUGAUCAGCCACACUGGAACUGAGACACGGUCCAGACUCCUACGG
rnacentral:rRNA from 1 species